GAGGCAGGAAAGGGAGGCGGGUGCUAGCUUUCGUGCUCGGGCUCUCCUCACCCCCAACCCCGCGCCAUCUUCAGAGGAGGGUUGGAGUCCUGGCUCCAGGCCGAAGCAGCUGUGUGAUUUGGAGCACCGCUCAGCCUCUCUGGGUUGGGCUGACCUCAUUGCACGAAGACAACGCUAGUUGCUUCCAAGGCUCAGCUCAGGUAGACAGAACACGCCUGGAGCCCUGCUUG